rnacentral:rRNA from 1 species
AUUGAACGCUGGCGGAAUGCUUUACACAUGCAAGUCGAACGGUAGAGGGGGCAACCCCUUGAGAGUGGCGAACGGGUGAGUAAUAUAUCGGAACGUGCCCAGUCGUGGGGAUAACGUAGCGAAAGUUACGCUAAUACCGCAUACGAUCUAAGGAUGAAAGCGGGGGAUCGCAAGACCUCGCGCAAUUGGAGCGGCCGAUAUCAGAUUAGGUAGUUGGUGAGGUAAAGGCUCACCAAGCCGACGAUCUGUAGCUGGUCUGAGAGGACGACCAGCCACACUGGGACUGAGACACGGCCCAGACUCCUACGGGAGGCAGCAGUGGGGAAUUUUGGACAAUGGGCGCAAGCCUGAUCCAGCAAUGCCGCGUGCAGGAUGAAGGCCUUCGGUGUAACUGCUUUGUACGGUAACGAAACGGUAGAGGCUCUAAUACAGUUUGCUAAUGACGGUACCGU